rnacentral:rRNA from 1 species
CUGGAGGUAUCAGAAGUGCGAAUGCUGACAUAAGUAACGAUAAAGCGGGUGAAAAGCCCGCUCGCCGGAAGACCAAGGGUUCCUGUCCAACGUUAAUCGGGGCAGGGUGAGUCGACCCCUAAGGCGAGGCCGAAAGGCGUAGUCGAUGGGAAACGGGUUAAUAUUCCCGUACUUGGUGUUACUGCGAAGGGGGGACGGAGAAGGCUAUGUUGGCCGGGCGACGGUUGUCCCGGUUUAAGCGUGUAGGUGUGUGUUCCAGGUAAAUCCGGUUCACUUUAACACUGAGGCGUGAUGACGAGGCACUACGGUGCUGAAGUAACAAAUGCCCUGCUUCCAGGAAAAGCCUCUAAGCAUCAGGUAACAUCAAAUCGUACCCCAAACCGACACAGGUGGUCAGGUAGAGAAUACCAAGGCGCUUGAGAGAACUCGGGUGAAGGAACUAGGCAAAAUGGUGCCGUAACUUCGGGAGAAGGCACGCUGACACGUAGGUGAAGUGAUUUACUCAUGGAGCUGAAGUCAGU